UUCACUCUGGAUUGUUCGUUAGAACAAUAUCAUGCAAACCCAUCUUUGUGCUAAGGGAAUCCAAAUUUACACAGGCCGUGGUCUGUGUCUGCGGAAGCCCACCUAAAUAUUAGGUUUGUGCAUGACUUCGUUUCGACGGCAACUCGGAGUUUUU
rnacentral:other from 1 species